ACAGCAGGUCUGGGUACAGCAGGUAAGUAUGUUUGCCUUCCAUACAGAGUAAACUGGAAGAAGCAGACAUACAAAGACAAUAAUACAUGUGAAUAUGUGUAAACACAACAGGAAAGAUUCAGACUGGCUUCUGCAGAAUGAAGCAAUAGUAAAUAAUACUGCAUCAUGGCUCAGAAAAGGAAAGGAGAUGAAGUGUUUCAGUGAAAGUCAAAAUGAUGUACACACAUUUAUUCCCUCAUCUGGGAUGCACUGAGACAACACAGAAAAAAGCAUCUCUUAUGGCAGCCUCCCUGAGCAACAACUCCAUACCCACAGCACCAUCAGUAGACCUGGACUGUCACGCUGGAGGAUUUGAAUACUCCUGAGAACUCUGUUAUUAUUCUCACCAAGGCUUAGAAAAGUAAUUCCAAAA